rnacentral:rRNA from 1 species
UAGGGAAUCUUCCGCAAUGGACGCAAGUCUGACGGAGCAACGCCGCGUGAGUGAAGAAGGAUUUCGGUUCGUAAAACUCUGUUGUUAGAGAAGAACAGCGCAUAGAGUAACUGUUAUGCGUGUGACGGUAUCUAACCAGAAAGCCACGGCUAACUACGUGCCAGCAGCCGCGGUAAUACGUAGGUGGCAAGCGUUGUCCGGAUUUAUUGGGCGUAAAGCGAGCGCAGGCGGUCAAUUAAGUCUGAUGUGAAAGCCCCCGGCUCAACCGGGGAGGGUCAUUGGAAGCUGUUUGACUUGAGUGCAGAAGAGGGGAGUGGAAUUCCAUGUGUAGCGGUGAAAUGCGUAGAUAUAUGGAGGAACACCAGUGGCGAAGGCGACUCUCUGGUCUAUAACUGACGCUGAGGCUCGAAAGCGUGGGUAGCUAACAGG